CCUACGGGGGGCAGCAGUGAGGAAUAUUGGUCAAUGGGCUUACGCCUGAACCAGCCAAGUCGCGUGAGGGAAGACUGCCCUAUGGGUUGUAAACCUCUUUUGUCAGGGAGCAACGCCGGCUACGUGUAGCCGGACUGAGAGUACCUGAAGAAAAAGCAUCGGCUAACUCCGUGCCAGCAGCCGCGGUAAUACGGAGGAUGCGAGCGUUAUCCGGAUUUAUUGGGGUAAAGGGGUGCGUAGGCGGAAUGCCAAGUCAGCGGUAAAAGCGCGGGGCUCAACCUCGCUCCGCCGUUGAAACUGGCGUUCUUGAGUGGGCGAGAAGUAUGCGGAAUGCGUGGUGUAGCGGUGAAAUGCAUAGAGAUCACGCAGAACUCCGAUUGCGAAGGCAGCAUACCGGCGCCCAACUGACGCUGAAGCACGAAAGCGUGGGUAUCGAACAGGAUUAGAUACCCUGGUAGUC
rnacentral:rRNA from 1 species